rnacentral:lncRNA from 1 species
CCUUGUCCCAUUGGAACUUGAGCACUCUGGACAAGUCAAAUCUUAUGUACCUUUUUGUCUUCUUGGUUUCUCCUGACCUAUCUAGGUGGCUCUCCGGUACCCCAGCCCCUGCUAUGGAAUGGAGGCCUCUCUUAGUCAUAUGAGAGUGUGAGUAGUGCAGGUCCCAUGUGAGUGACAGGGCAUAAGUCCUCUCCCUUCAUUCUGGAGUUCAGUGGAAGUCACAGCUUAGUUUUUCUGUCUCAGUUAAAGGCCAUCAUCAUACCUGCUUUUAAAUUUUUUUUUUCAGAUUGACCCCUGUUUACACUCAAGGAUUUCUUUUGUUCUCUUCUACUCGUCAUAACAGUGGUCACAUAAUGGAACCAAUAAAAAUCUGGUUUGGGAUGGGUCAGAAUGCAAUACUAAGAUUUGGAUAGGUGAUGGACACAAGACUGCUCUUUAUAUCAACUGGUUUCUGUCCUACUUUUUUAGAGGCUGCAGUAUUCUAUCUGGCCAGAAGACGCCAGUGAAUGGAUGUCCUGACUUCCUACCUGGCAAUGAAGUGGUCAAGAAAUGUUUAUCAAGCACCUACUAUGUGUUUGGAUCGUCAGUCCGUUUAGCCAAGGAGAGAUUUUCCCAGUCACCAUCCAUCAAGAAAUCCCAUAGUAUGGAAUUAACUUUAGAAUGUUAUAUUUUGGUGAAAUUGGUGGAAUUCACAUACCUCCCGUCUCUGGGCCUGGCUCUCAAUCCACUGAGACACCCACUUGCAGACAUUUUUCAUCAUCUUUCUUACUUAAGAGUUGAUAUUAUAGUCAUUGGUAUCUGCCAUAAACCAAUUUUUUUAGGAAAAUUCUUUUCAAUCUUUCAUUUCAUCAAAAGGCAAAGCUGAGAUAAGGGAACUUAUGCAAUGAGCAUCAUGUACCCAAGAAGUUAAAAGGCCAUGUUCAAUCUAAAAAGCAUCACUUGAAUGAAAUUACUAGAUGAAAUUCAACAUUGUUAGGAAAUCAUGUUUCUUUUAAUUUAGGCCCUUGUUUGUUUUAACUCCUUUCAAACACUCCCCAAUAUUAAUUAGUAAUUAAGGAGUUAGUUUAGAAGAUUUAUAAAACGUUGUUAGGGUUUUAGUCUCUGAUUUUCGAAUAAAGUUAGUUAUUCCCUGAUCCCA